GGGAGCCCGACAUGGGGCUCCAUCCCAGGACCUUGGGAUAGUGACCUGAGCAGAAGGAAUUCUUGCCUAUUUGCCUUGGAUAGAAUCUCCAGUUCAUCAUUGAACAGAAGUGCCAAGAUCAGACCACCUUUUCUUGUUCCUGAUCUUAAGGGGAAAGUUUUCAGUUUUUUUACCGGAGCCCCAAGUCGGAUGGUGGGGAAGAAAUUGACUUUGAGUGGACGCAGGUGCAACAUAUUCAGUAUUAAAGGUAAUUUAAGUUUGUUGAUUUCAUUAAAAU